AUGUACCGGUGCAAGUUCCUGAAGGUAGCUGCACUAGGUCACUAUAUACUUGUUCUAAAGCGCAUCAGUCCUAGUCUGGCAGAGCAGAUCAGGCAACACAUGACCAGGCUUCUAUCAAUAGAACGAAAGACCCGUACUAUCUUGAUGUGUGAAUUACCAAAUGUUGGGAAGAGCUCUUUCAUGAACAAGGUUACAAGGGCAGAUGUGGACGCACAGCCUUAUGCUUUCAUGAAAAAAAAUCCCUUUUUGAUGGCCACACAGAUUACAAUCAUUGUGUGCAAGAAGACUGAUUUGCAACAACUUGCCGGGCCUUCUGAAGAGGAUAUGAAGCUGGUAAUGCAGAUGAAGGCAGAGGCAGAGGCAGAGGCAGAUGCCUCUCACUUCUAUGCACGCGUCAACUCCACCUAA
rnacentral:rRNA from 1 species